rnacentral:rRNA from 1 species
AGAGUUUGAUCCUGGCUCAGAGUUAACGCUGGCGGCGUGCUUAACACAUGCAAGUCGAACGUGAUUCAGAGCUUGCUCUGAUGAAAGUGGCGCACGGGUGAGUAACGCGUGGAUAACCUGCCCUGGUAUCUGGGGUAACAUCUCGAAAGGGGUGCUAAUACCGGAUAAGCCUCCGGGAUCUUCGGAUUCUGCAGGAAAAGAAGGCCUCUAUUUAUAAGCUUUCGUAUCAGGAUGGGUCCGCGUACCAUUAGCUAGUUGGUGGGGUAAUGGCCUACCAAGGCGACGAUGGUUAGCUGGUCUGAGAGGAUGAUCAGCCACACUGGAACUGAGACACGGUCCAGACUCCUACGGGAGGCAGCAGUGGGGAAUUUUGCGCAAUGGGGGAAACCCUGACGCAGCAACGCCGCGUGAGUGAUGAAGGCUUUCGGGUCGUAAAGCUCUGUCAGAGGGGAAGAAAUGAGACUGGCUAAUAUCCAGUUUUCUUGACGGUACCCUCAAAGGAAGCACCGGCUAACUCCGUGCCAGCAGCCGCGGUAA